AUGAAUGCUGGCUGUAUGGAUGAGUCAUGCAAGUCGAACGGUCCGCAAGGACAGUGGCAGACGAGGUAGUAACACGUAGGUACGUACUCCAAAGUCGGGCAUAGCCAACCGAAAGGUUGGGUAAUUCCCGAUAGUCCCGCAAGGGUAAAGAUUUAUCGCUUUGGAAGCGGCCUGCGUAGUAUCAGCUUGUUGGUAAGGUAAUGGCUUACCAAGGCUACGACGCUUAGGGGAGCUGAGAGGCUGACCCCCACCGAUGGGACUGAGACACGGCCCAUACUCCUACGGGAGGCCGCAGACGAGAAUACUCCGCAAUGGACGCAAGUCUGACGGGGCGAUACAGCGUGGUGGACGAAGUGCUUCGGCACGUAAACACCUUUUAUGUGGGACGAAAUUAUUGACGGUACCACAUGAAUAAGGGGCUCCUAACUCUGU
rnacentral:rRNA from 1 species